rnacentral:rRNA from 1 species
AUUGAACGCUGGCGGCAUGCCUUACACAUGCAAGUCGAACGGUAACAGGUCUUCGGAUGCUGACGAGUGGCGAACGGGUGAGUAAUGCAUCGGAACGUGCCCAGUAGUGGGGGAUAGCCCGGCGAAAGCCGGAUUAAUACCGCAUACGACCUGAGGGUGAAAGGGGGGGAUCGCAAGACCUCUCGCUAUUGGAGCGGCCGAUGUCAGAUUAGCUAGUUGGUGGGGUAAAGGCCUACCAAGGCAACGAUCUGUAGUUGGUCUGAGAGGACGACCAGCCACACUGGGACUGGGACACGGCCCAGACUCCUACGGGAGGCAGCAGUGGGGAAUUUUGGACAGUGGGCGCAAGCCUGAUCCAGCAAUGCCGCGUGCAGGAAGAAGGCCUUCGGGUUGUAAACUGCUUUUGUACGGAACGAAACGGUCCUGGUUAAUACCUGGGGCUAAUGACGGUACCGUAAGAAUAAGCACCGGCUAACUACGUGCCAGCCGCCGCAGUAACAC